AAAAGUAGUGAAAAAUAAAUUUUGAAACUGCUUGAUGCUGGUGUCAUAUACCCUAUUUCUGAUGGUACUUGGGUUUUUCUAGUGCAUGCGUCCCUAAAAAAGGUGGAAUGACUGUUGUUAAAAAUGAAAAGGAUGAAUUGAUCCCGACUAUAACUCUUUCCAGGGAAGCUUAAGUCUAGAUGGCUGGUCCCUUCUAUAUCACUGAAGUCCGCCCUUAUUGAGCAGUCACUCUAGCUGGUAAGAGUGGAGAUUUCACAUUGAAUGGUCAAAGGCUCAAGAAAUACUUAGCAGAUCAAAUCCUUCCUGAGGUGACUUCGGCUCAUCUCCAGGAACCUCUUGAUGAUUAAAGGAGUAAGGAAGUCAAGCUAAUGACUUAAAACAAGCUCACUUGGGGGAGGGGGGGGGGGUUUAAGUCCCAUGCCUUUCUCUGUACAUAUUUUUGUUUUCCUUGUAAUUUUUGAUGCAUUUUACUAGUGGUUUCAGGAGAUAACUGCUAAUGUUUAAGUGCAAUGGAUUCAACCUCAAAAAUUCACUUGACCACAUGAUGUAGAGAUCGAGUGUCUCUGUGCAAUCGAGUAUAAACAAGGUUUCAGUUGGAGCUUCAACAUGUCACUCGAUCACACUGGCCACAUGCUGAUGAGGAAAUAUAAUCGAGUAAACUUGAUGAUUCUGAGCCUUUAUACUCGACCUCGUACUCGACCGUAAUAAGCCAUAUGGCGACCAGCGGUGGAAAUCGAGUGUGUUGUUGUUUUGACCCAAAAAUUCAACCUUAUACUCGACCAAUAGAGGCUACAGAGACUUACAGAGGAUUUUAGGAUUUCCUGAGGUUUUGCAGUCAACAGGGAACUGAGCUUAAUGACAAAACAACAUAGCGUGGACCACACGCGUUUUCUCACUGAGGAUAAGAUGGAGAGAGAAAUACAAAUUUAAUCUCCACCAUUCCUUUUGAAAUCGCCUUCAUUCCUUCAAAACACUAAAGAAAUUUACUCGACCUCUGAGGAAAAUAAACACUUCGCCGCCUCUCAAGUUCACCAUCUCCAAGACUCGAUUUCAACAAGAUUACUCGACUGCUGCGGAAGAGAAGUAUUUCACCGUCGCAAUCGAGUACGCCGACUCGUCCUUGGUCGAGUAGCACCAGUUUUAACCCCAUCGAAAGCACAUUCAUCCCCUCUGGAAUCUAAGUAACUUCGAAGAGUCACUCGACAGCCGCUACGCCGCCGCAAUCGAGUUCACCAUCUUAUUCACCAUCGAGUAGAAUCAGUUUGGCCGUCGAAACCUCAAGAACACUAGACCAGAUUCAAGAUUCCAAACGAUAAUUCCGGUUGACUGAGAGUUUACUCGAUCGCUGGUGCUCUCAUUUAGCAGAUCCACUCGACAUCACCAGUUUUACUCGACCACCACUCUAUGCAACUUGAUUCCAAUCAUGAAAGAAGAGCUUGUGAACACGUCAGCUUACUCGAGUACUGGGUUACACUCGACCAGUUUAGUCCUUUUUGUUAAUUCUUGAGAACAAUUCCGGUUUCAUAGUUUUUUUUGAGACUAACCUAUUGACAUUUGAGUUUUGAGUUCUCAAUCUUUUUCAGGAUCAUUAUGAGCAACUAUAGUGGCGGUUCGUCAAUUGAUUCCGACUAUAACUUGGAUGAGGCUGAGUUUUCAUCUUUAAGACCGGAAAGAGAACAGAGGGAAUAUGAGAAUUUCAGGAGAAGAGCUGAGAUAGCUCUAGGGAAGAGAGCAGUGACAGAGAGGUAUGAGCUGAUAGACGAGGAGAUGGAGGUCGAGUAUAUGCCUGAGCAUUCUCAUAGAGCCACAAAACCUCUACACAAGCCUGGGUUAUUGCCAGCUGAGGAGUAUAUCAGACUCUUCAAGCUGAAUGAGUUCUACAACACAAAGUAUCCCUGCUCAACUACCCUAGCACAGCUUGGAUUACUGGAGGAUUUCAGCACAUGUACCAGAGUUGUCACCUGGACACUCUGAUGGCUUACCCAUAUGUAGCCUACGAGGAAGAAACAAUUCAGUUCCUUUCCACACUACAAGUGGAGCUCCACCAAGGUAUGACCUUUAAUGAUUUGGAAAGUGAAGGAUUGGGAUUCUUGAGAUUCUCUGUGUAUGGUCAGGAUUAUAUGAUGUCAAUCAAGCGUUUGGAAGGAUUGUUUGGUUUCCCAGUGGAACGGGAACCAAGCCCAAGUAUGACAGAGAUGAGUGGAAGGAUUUAUGGAUCACCAUUGGCAGCUCUGUACCACUAAAUUCUUCUAGAUCCAAGAGCAACCAGAUAUGCAAUCCUUUCAUCAGGUACUUCCAGCGUUCUGUGGCCAAUGUCCUCUACUCUAGAGAGAUAACAGGGACUGUCACCAACUUUGAUAUGGAGAUGAUCACUAUGGCUCUCAGAAGUACUCUCCGCCAAACCAAGAACGGUAUUUCUCUCCAAGGUGAAAUCAAUGACACUCCUCUCUCUAUACUUCUUCUGAUCCACAUGUGUGGAUAUAAGAGCUGGGCUACCAGCAAUAACCACAAGAGAGCACGAGGCGCUCUUUGCAGAUGAGGGGUUCUGACACCAAUUCUUAUCGCUUGUGGAGUCCCAAUCACAUCUGAUGGACUUGAGCCACGAGCAAUGGAUCUCGAGCAUCUACGACACUACGAAAUCCUCGAGUUGGAAAUGGUCGACGACAGGCAUCGUUUCAAGUUUGAGCACUUUACAAACAAGAAAGCCAACAUCCUUCCCCCCAGUCCUAAGCUUAGACGCAUAAUAGAGGGAGAUAACAUUUAUUUCACACCUGCGCUUGAGAACCUCUAUUACAAGAACGCUUAGCUGAUAGAUGAGGAUGCAAGACGGUACUGAGGAUGAGAUCGGUGAGACGGAUGAGGAGAAGUAUGAUUCAAGCAUGUAUCAUUUCAGUGAGCACGUAGCUCUAGCGAGGGAGAGUAAGAGCUUGAGUGAAGCUCACAGAAACAAUAGCAAGUUGCAGAAGUGGUGCAAGAAGCAAGACAAGUUCAUUAUCAAAUGCCUAAAGACUAUCAAGUCUUUGAAGGCCAUGCUAAGCUGCUCCACUUCCACUACAACUAUUCUGCAGGGACAGCCUCCUCAGGACAUGCCAUUGAGGAGAUUUGACGAGCUUGAGCCGAGUCAACACAGGCCUGAGCCUAGUGAGCAGAGGGUCUCACAUUUCCCAGCUACACAUUCAUCAUUCGAGUCUCGGGAGCACAUGAAGAAGAAGAAGGCUAUGCUCGUUCGCUCUAGCAGCAGAUCAUGCCUUAUCAACUCGAGGAGAUCACUCGACCGCCAUGCUGGCCGCAAAAGAAGAAGAGAGGUCGAGUAUCCUUGUGGCGGUGCUGGCCGCAGAAGAGGCGAUGAGGUCAAGUAUCCUCAGGGAGUUGGGGCUGAGACAGAACAGGGCGACACUUUCAUUGCUUGGGAGCAAUCACAGGCAGCCAUUGAUGACCAACUCUGUUCAUACUUCGACAGAGGUAAGCACCUGACUUCACCAUUGUACUAUACCAUCUCGUGUUUUUAUUUUGUUUUUGUGAUGUGUUUUGUCCUGAGUACUCUCUUCCAAGUUUAGUAACACAAAGGAUUGUUUGAUUUAAGCUAGAUUACUAUACUCGAUCACACUGUCAUGAUUUGAUACCAUUCCCUAUCAAUUUGAACCUGAAUCUGAUUUUUUAAU
rnacentral:sRNA from 1 species